rnacentral:rRNA from 1 species
GAUGAACGCUGGCGGCGUGCCUAAUACAUGCAAGUCGAGCGAACAGACGAGGAGCUUGCUCCUCUGACGUUAGCGGCGGACGGGUGAGUAACACGUGGAUAACCUACCUAUAAGACUGGGAUAACUUCGGGAAACCGGAGCUAAUACCGGAUAAUAUAUUGAACCGCAUGGUUCAAUAGUGAAAGACGUUUUUUCUGUCACUUAUAGAUGGAUCCGCGCCGCAUUAGCUAGUUGGUAAGGUAACGGCUUACCAAGGCAACGAUGCGUAGCCGACCUGAGAGGGUGAUCGGCCACACUGGAACUGAGGCACGGUCCAGACUCCUACGGGAGGCAGCAGUAGGGAAUCUUCCGCAAUGGGCGAAAGCCUGACGGAGCAACGCCGCGUGAGUGAUGAAGGUCUUCGGAUCGUAAAACUCUGUUAUUAGGGAAGAACAAAUGUGUAAGUAACUAUGCACGUCUUGACGGUACCUAAUCAGAAAGCCACGGCUAACUACGUG